rnacentral:rRNA from 1 species
AGUGAACGCUGGCGGUAGGCCUAACACAUGCAAGUCGAACGGCAGCACAGUAGAGCUUGCUCUUACGGGUGGCGAGUGGCGGACGGGUGAGGAAUACAUCGGAAUCUACUUUUUCGUGGGGGAUAACGUAGGGAAACUUACGCUAAUACCGCAUACGACCUACGGGUGAAAGCAGGGGAUCUUCGGACCUUGCGCGAUUGAAUGAGCCGAUGUCGGAUUAGCUAGUUGGCGGGGUAAAGGCCCACCAAGGCGACGAUCCGUAGCUGGUCUGAGAGGAUGAUCAGCCACACUGGAACUGAGACACGGUCCAGACUCCUACGGGAGGCAGCAGUGGGGAAUAUUGGACAAUGGGCGCAGGCCUGAUCCAGCCAUACCGCGUGGGUGAAGAAGGCCUUCGGGUUGUAAAGCCCUUUUGUUGGGAAAGAAAAGCAGCAGGUUAACACCCCGCUGUUCUGACGGUACCCAAAGAAUAAGCACCGGCUAACUUCGUG